rnacentral:rRNA from 1 species
CUUACACGGUGGGCUACACACGUGCUACAAUGGCGGUGACAGUGGGCAGCUACUUCGCGAGAAGAUGCUAAUCUCUAAAAACCGUCUCAGUUCGGAUUGUUCUCUGCAACUCGAGAGCAUGAAGGCGGAAUCGCUAGUAAUCGCGGAUCAGCAUGCCGCGGUGAAUACGUUCCCAGGCCUUGUACACACCGCCCGUCACACCAUGGGAGUUGGAUCAACCCGAAGCU